AAUUAUAUAAGUUAUAUAAACUAAUGACCUUCAAAGCCAUUAAAAGAAUUUGUUCUUAUAAUUA
rnacentral:tRNA from 1 species